GGGAAAAUGGCCUAAAACUGACUCUUAAUCAGUAGGUCGCUGGUUCGACUCCAGCACGGCCCACCA
rnacentral:tRNA from 1 species